rnacentral:tRNA from 2 species
GCCGAAGUGGCGGAAUUGGCAGACGCGCUGGAUUCAAAAUCCAGUUCUCGCAAGGGAGUGAGGGUUCGAGUCCCUCCUUCGGUA